rnacentral:tRNA from 1 species
CAUUUUAUAGUUUAAAUAAAACAUAAGUCUCAUGAACUUAAAUUGUGGCCAAUAAUCCACUAAACUAG